GCUGGGUGCGGUGGCGUGUGCCUGUAGUCCCAGCUACUCAGGAGGCUGUGGCUGGAGGAUGCUUGAGCCCAGGAGUUCUGGGCUGUAGUGCACUAUGCCGAUCGGGUGUCUGCACUAAGGUCUGCAUCAAUAUGGUGACCUCCCGGGAGCGAGGGACCACCAGCUUGCCUAAGGAGGGGUGAACCAGCCCAGGUCGAACACGGAGCAGGUCAAAACUCCCGUGCUGAUCAGCAGUGGGAUCGAACCUGUGAAUAGCCACUGCCCUCCAGCCUGGGCAACAUAGCAAGAUGCCAUGU
rnacentral:SRP_RNA from 1 species